rnacentral:rRNA from 1 species
UACGUAGGUUGCAAGCGUUAAUCGGAAUUACUGGGCGUAAAGCGUGCGCAGGCGGUUUUGUAAGUCUGAUGUGAAAUCCCCGGGCUCAACCUGGGAAUUGCAUUGGAGACUGCAAGGCUAGAAUCUGGCAGAGGGGGGUAGAAUUCCACGUGUAGCAGUGAAAUGCGUAGAGAUGUGGAGGAACACCGAUGGCGAAGGCAGCCCCCUGGGUCAAGAUUGACGCUCAUGCACGAAAGCGUGGGGAGCAAACAGG